rnacentral:rRNA from 1 species
CGGACGGGUGAGUAACGCGUGGUAACCUGCCUUGCACUGGGGGAUAACACUUAGAAAUAGGUGCUAAUACCGCAUAAGCGCACGGUCCUGCAUGGGACAGUGUGAAAAACUCCGGUGGUGCAAGAUGGACCCGCGUCUGAUUAGCUGGUUGGCGGGGGUAAAGGCCCACCAAGGCGACGAUCAGUAGCCGGCCUGAGAGGGUGGACGGCCACAUUGGGACUGAGACACGGCCCAAACUCCUACGGGAGGCAGCAG